rnacentral:pre_miRNA from 14 species
CUACAAUUCUACCUAAAACUGUUUUCGAAUCGGGAGUUUCGUGGCCUGAAUGCGUGAACGCUUGUGCUUUAGCAUACUGGCCCCCAAAUUUUCGCUUUGAAUUCUAGUUGUCUUUU